AGAUUUUCAGCGACAACCCACGAGUCUGUUAGAGCAGAUGUUAUAUUCUUCACCUUACGCUGCUGCUUCACAAUCUUCACUUUCUUCUCCAUCUUCUACAUCGUUUUCUCUACUUUUCGAUAGUCAUCAAUAGAUGGGUUAUUUCAUAAAUCAAU